GUGGGAACAGCACGGCCGCAACUCUGACUCGUCCGGGUUCUCUCUCCGGGCUUGGGAUUGCGGAAGUGC
rfam:Halobacteriaceae archaeon SB9 contig_25, whole genome shotgun sequence.